GUCGAGUCCGCCCCGUGCUCCCACGACCGGCUAUGCCUGCGUACUUUGGACAGUGAAGCUCGUGAACGCGUUUUCAUCAGUACUGUUUUCUUCCCCCUCCCCUCCACGAGACAACAUCUUUUCAUGCGGGAGACUACGCACACCCCAUCUUCAGCCAGGACGGGGACUACCCAGCCGUAAUGCGUCAGAGGGUGGACGCCAACAGCGCAGCAGAGGGGCGGCCCCGCUCGCGGUUGCCAACUUUCACUCAGGAGGAGAUAGCAUACCUCAGAGGUUCGUCUGAUUUUUUCGGGGUGAAUCAUUACCACACGAACAUUGUGACAUCAGGGGAAUCUGGAGUAUCUCCGUCCAAGACAAGGGAUUCCGGCAUUGUCAG